rnacentral:rRNA from 1 species
AGUGAACGCUGGCGGCAGGCCUAACACAUGCAAGUCGAGCGGCAGCGGGCCCUUCGGGCUGCCGGCGAGCGGCGGACGGGUGAGGAAUGCAUCGGAAUCUGCCCUGUCGUGGGGGAUAACCUAGGGAAACUUAGGCUAAUACCGCAUACGACCCACGGGUGAAAGCGGGGGAUCGCAAGACCUCGCGCGAUAGGAUGAGCCGAUGUCCGAUUAGCUAGUUGGCGGGGUAAAGGCCCACCAAGGCGACGAUCGGUAGCUGGUCUGAGAGGAUGAUCAGCCACACUGGGACUGAGACACGGCCCAGACUCCUACGGGAGGCAGCAGUGGGGAAUAUUGGACAAUGGGCGCAAGCCUGAUCCAGCCAUGCCGCGUGGGUGAAGAAGGCCUUCGGGUUGUAAAGCCCUUUUGUCCGGGAAGAAAUCGUCUGGGCUAAUACCCCGGGCGGAUGACGGUACCGGAAGAAUAAGCACCGGCUAACUUCGUG